ACCGAGUUGCCGGAGGCAUUGGUGGUUGAAGAAGAGGAAGAGUCGGUGACCGGUGCAGAGGAAGAGGCGAAAAUAAAAGCACCACCUCCCUAUCGAUUCCAACGCAUUGUAGACUGAUUCACCAAAAUCUAUUUUCCCAUUAUGAAACGGCCCACAAACGAGUGACUGUGAGCCGCCCAAGGUUGAAUUUGGUGCCGACUUGCUUCAUCUUGCCAUAUGUCGAUUUUCCAUCCUUCGAGUUUUGAAGAAGAAACUGCACCACCGCCAUCUUUUCCUCAUCUUGAAGAUCUUUCAAAUGCAUUCUGCCACUGUUCAGCCUUGAAGAAUUUCAGAUUAUAAGUUCUAGUUUAGGUUGUAUAAUUUGUAGUGUUAGUUUGAUGGAUAUAUAUAGAGCUAAAGGCUGAAUUUCAAAGCCUUAAAUUUGGCGCCAUAAAGUUUUAGCCUAUGAAUUAUGUAAUCUAGCGCAAAUUUUUUCAACUCCAAAUGUGAACAAAAUCUUGGGUUUAUAAUUUAAAUUGUCGCCAAUUUUUCA